rnacentral:rRNA from 1 species
GACGAACGCUGGCGGCGUGCUUAACACAUGCAAGUCGAACGGAAAGGCCCUGCUUUUGUGGGGUGCUCGAGUGGCGAACGGGUGAGUAACACGUGAGUAACCUGCCCUUGACUUUGGGAUAACUUCAGGAAACUGGGGCUAAUACCGGAUAGGAGCUCCUGCUGCAUGGUGGGGGUUGGAAAGUUUCGGCGGUUGGGGAUGGACUCGCGGCUUAUCAGCUUGUUGGGGGGGUAGUGGCUUACCAAGGCUUUGACGGGUAGCCGGCCUGGGAGGGUGACCGGCCACAUUGGGACUGAGAUACGGACCAGACUCCUACGGGAGGCAGCAGUGGGGAAUAUUGCACAAUGGGCGGAAGCCUGAUGCAGCAACGCCGCGUGCGGGAUGACGGCCUUCGGGUUGUAAACCGCUUUCGCCUGUGACGAAGCGUGAGUGACGGUAAUGGGUAAAGAAGCACCGGCUAACUACGUG